UACGUAGGGGGCUAGCGUUGUCCGGAAUCAUUGGGCGUAAAGAGCGUGUAGGCGGUCCGGUAAGUCCGCUGUGAAAGUCGGGGGCUCAACCCUCGAAUGCCGGUGGAUACUGUCGGGCUAGAGUGCGGAAGAGGCGAGUGGAAUUCCUGGGUGUAGCGGUGAAAUGCGCAGAUAUCAGGAAGAACACCAAUGGCGAAAAGCAGCUCUCUGGGGACGGUACUGACGCUGAGACGCGAAAGCGUGGGGAGCGAACAGG
rnacentral:rRNA from 1 species